ensembl:lncRNA
GGGAAAACUCACGCAGAAGCGACAACAACAAAAAUUCUGAGGGCCUAUAUUUAACAGUGAUGGGAAUUGUGGGGCGAGCCAUACAGGAACACUUUCAAUGCAUGGUGAAGGUCAAUUGGGGCUUAUUUUCUCCCCUCCACCCCUCUCUCCUCAGCAAUAAAUAGAUGAGCAUUGUUUAGCAAAAUAAUGAGCCACUUCCAAAGACCGGCCUUUUAGUCUCAGAGUUCACACAUCCAUGAACAGCGUGUGGCUGUGAGCAGAGAAAUAAGACUUCACAGGAAGUGGGAACUGGGACGUUAUAAUCGGAGUCAUUACCCCACAGCCUCUCAUGACUCCAGUAUAUACAGAGGAGAAGGACUUGAUAUGUAUUACCUCUACAACCAACCAGAGGACAAAUGCAGCUCUAUAAGGUGUGUUGGUAUGGGGAGUUAUAGCCACAUCUAGAGCUGUUGCGGUGACAGUAUUACCGCCACACCAGUGGGCACGAGUCAUGAAUGCAGUCAAAUUCAACAUUACUGUUGUCAUGGAGAGAGAGAGUCAUUUCUUCAAAACAAUCAUCUUUAUUUAAUAUUGAUUAAUUAUUGCAAUAAUGACGCUGUCGACCCCACACUCGAGUGUUGGACCGAGAGCCUUCACAAUAAUGAAAAAACAGAGGUCUUAUAUAGUAUGCCUAAAAAUGCUUAGUCAUGGCUGAUUCCACCCCUCCCAUGCAGAUCGGGGCAUCAUUAGCCAUCUUGGGUUCAUCUUGUUUUACCCCCAACACAGUUUAGUUUCCCAGAUGCAAGGAUGAUUAGAAACAAUGAGGGGUUUUGUUCUACUCCUCCAGGCUAUCUCCAUCUUGAGUCACAUGCCACAUCUUGUCUAUGGAAUGCAGGCUGUAGGUUAUCACCAAGCCAUAAAUAAAUUGUCAGUUCAAGCCCCAGAGCCCCAAAUUAGUCCCACAGAUGCGAGUGGGUACUCAUCAAAGCGAGUUGAUGCAUAAACAAUACUAUAACAUGAUCUUGUAAUUUUUCAACCAUACCAUUUAAUGAUGUUAAUUAGGGUUCUCCAAACUUUUAAAGCUGCUGCUGGUCAUUAAUAGCCUACCAAACAUGCUAUCUCCCUUGUACUCAGCACUUGAUUGUCCCUCUAAUCACUCUGACAUCAAUCCAAAUAUAUUUGAAAAUCGAAUCAAACACUUCAUGAGAGCCCAUGAGCUCAUGUUGCGCAACAUUUCUAUAGGCUAUGCAAUUGCGCAAGAAAACAGAGUGAUGGCUGCUAAAUAAAAAGAUGAGGAUCCCAUCAGCUUUCUAUAGGCUAGGCCUACUAUAUUUUUCUCAAGUUUCCUAAUAUUAAACACAUUGCUUAUAUUUACAACAAGAGUAUAGCCAAUGCAAAGACAAAGUAUUUUUUCAACUGCCCCUGUUUCGAUAUAUAAGUGUAUGAUAAUGGUCUAUUCUAAAUCAAAACAAAUGUCACACAUAUUAUUUAGUAUAUGUAAAGACCAGAUUAAAUCAAGAAUAGUCUGAUGGGUGACAAUAUUAGCCUAUCACUUGUGGGGCUGGGCGAUAUGACGAUAUAUAUCAUGUGACGAUAGAAAUUUUUCUAUUGUUUCAUUAUGCUCUAUCACACUCUUGAUGGCAAUAUUUUAUGUCAAUUGGACGAAUCUUUGCACUUGUGUAGAAGAAAAUUUGCAACACAAACAAACACGGAGGAGAGUGAACGUGACACAGAGCACGGAGACACAGAGCUCAUACCUAAAAGAGGGGCUACUUUGGUCGCAUGGACGUGGUUUGGGUAUGAAAAGUCUGACAUGGACCAGAAAACCAUCCUCUGCUAAAUAUGCAGCAGGCCGGUGCCUCCAACAGGUCCAAACACCACUAAACUUUUACCACCUACGCAAGAAUCAUGUGAAACAGUACGGAGAGAGUCUACGGAGACACAAAAAAGCACAGUCGAGUGCUCAAAACAAACCCUUGACUCAGACGUUGCAAGAGGCUUUUGCCCGCGGCACACUAUAUGGCAAAGAAUCACGAAGAUGGAAGGAGAUAAGAGCUGCCAUGUCAACUUACAUCUGCAAAGACAUGGCCCCAAUUUACACGGUCGAGAAACUGUGUGUUGGUGCUAACACUCAACCCAAGGUACCAAAUGCAAAUUGAUAUGUGACACAUUAAUGCCAAAAUAACACGGAAAACAGGGAAAGCCCCCCCCCCCAAAAUAAAUAAAUAAAUAAAUAUAUAUAUAUAUAUAUAUAUAUAUAUAUAUAUAUACAUACAUACAUACAUACAUACACACACACACACACACACAUACAUACAUACAUAUAUAUAUAUAUGUAUGUAUAUAUAGUUGAAGUCAGAAGUUUACAUACACCGUAGCCAAAUAUUUAAACUCUGUUUUUUUUUUACAAUUCCUGACAUUUAAUCAUGUAAAAAUUCCCUGUUUUAGUUCAGUUAGGAUAGCCACUCCAAUACCUUGACUUUGUUGUCCUUAAUCCAUUUUGCCACAACUUUGGAAGUAUGCUUGGGGUCAUUGUCCAUUUGGAAGACUCAUUUGCGACCAAGCUUUAACUUCCUGACUGAUGUCUUGGGAUGUUGCUUCAAUAUAUCCACAUAAUUUUCCAUCCUCAUGAUGCCAUUUAUUUUGUGAAGCGCACCAGUCCCUCCUGCAGCAAAGCACCCCCACAACCUGAUGCUGCCACCCGCGUGCUUCGCGGUUGGGAUGGUGUUCUUCGGCUUGCAAGCAUCGCCCUUUUUCCUCCAAACAUAACGAUGGUCAUUAUGGGCAAACGGUUCUAUUUUUGUGUCAUCAGACCAUGAUUUCAGUUUAGAAGGAUUUCACAAGGAUUUCAGUUUAGAAUAAAUUGCACUCUAUACUAAGCAUUUCAUAAAGUACAUCUAAAGGCACCGCAUUCUACCCAUCAAGUGCCUAGCAUAAAGUACAGCAUUCUACCCAUCAAGUGCCUAGCAUAAAGUACAGCAUUCUACCCAUCAAGUGCCUAGCAUAAAGUACAGCAUUCUACCCUGUGCUUCCAAUGAUCACUGAUAAUACUCUUAAUGCAAACCGAGUGAAUUGCUCCACAUGCAUCAUAUACUGUGGUACAUACAAAGCAAACAGAUAUAGUGCUGCCCUUUCUAGGCACAGUGCAUCCAUAUUACUUGACAUCCAAUGUUGUAAUACUAGUGAUUUUACAACUACAGUUAAGCAACAGUAAAUGAGAUUAUCGCAAACAUAUCAAUUGUAAAAUGGUUUGGAUGAAUCUAAAUAAAAUCUGCAAGCUUGUGCAAAUGUCCAGUGGAAGAGAGUGAAAUGGAAAGAGAGAGGGAGAGUGAUGGGGAUGGAUGGAGAGGUAAAAGAAUUGAGGAUCUAUCUUCGUCCUCAGGAUUCUUUUGGACAGGCUGAGAACUCAAUGUAUUCUUCAUUCUGAAACACACAAGGGGAAAACGGUUAAGAGGUAAAUUUCAAGCAGUGCUGUUCAAUACAAAGAGCAGCAGUGAUAACAUCAAAUGAAGGCUUUCUUUGCAAUCUCUGCUACUAAUCCACAUAAUUAUCUCAGAGUAAACAUCUCACCAGGCGGUCAUCAUACCAGACAACACAGCUUAGAGGCCAUCAAAGGAACAAAUCACAAAAGCCAGGCAGACUACAACUGCAAAGGUUUGUGUCACUGUCUAAUUGAACUCAACCAGGCAGCCAUUUUGAAAACACCUGUUCAGGCCAGGCUACAACGAGUGAUAGUCAUGUAGUCAUACUCAGAUGCAACACAUCACCAUACGAUGAGAGGAAACACAG